AUGUAAAUUCUUACAACAUAGUGUUAAUGCAUCAGAUUCCAUUAGAAAUCUACAGUUAAGUAUGCUCAGGAUAGAGUAGUACUGGGAUGGGUGACCUCAUGGGAAGUACUAGUGUUUUACAUG
rnacentral:rRNA from 1 species